GGCUGAGCAUCCUAGCCCGCUGGCUUCGGUCAGUGUGUGCUGGUAUGUAUUAGCCAUCCUUCUAGAAAGCUGUGCGUACCGUUUACUCGGCCGCGCGCAUGCGAUCUAGAUCUUUUACUUUGAAAAAAUUAGAGUGUUUAAAGCAGGCUUACGCCAUGAAUACAUUAGCAUGGAAUAAUAAUAUAGGACUUCGGUUCUAUUUUGUUGGUUUCUAGGACUGAAGUA
rnacentral:rRNA from 1 species